rnacentral:rRNA from 1 species
UAGGGAAUCUUCGGCAAUGGACGAAAGUCUGACCGAGCAACGCCGCGUGAGUGAAGAAGGUUUUCGGAUCGUAAAACUCUGUUGUUAGAGAAGAACAAGGACGUUAGUAACUGAACGUCCCCUGACGGUAUCUAACCAGAAAGCCACGGCUAACUACGUGCCAGCAGCCGCGGUAAUACGUAGGUGGCAAGCGUUGUCCGGAUUUAUUGGGCGUAAAGCGAGCGCAGGCGGUUUCUUAAGUCUGAUGUGAAAGCCCCCGGCUCAACCGGGGAGGGUCAUUGGAAACUGGGAGACUUGAGUGCAGAAGAGGAGAGUGGAAUUCCAUGUGUAGCGGUGAAAUGCGUAGAUAUAUGGAGGAACACCAGUGGCGAAGGCGGCUCUCUGGUCUGUAACUGACGCUGAGGCUCGAAAGCGUGGGGAGCAAGCAGG